AAUGACGCUGGCGGCAGGCCUAACACAUGCAAGUCGAGCGGUAGAGAGAAGCUUGCUUCUCUUGAGAGCGGCGGACGGGUGAGUAAUGCCUAGGAAUCUGCCUGGUAGUGGGGGAUAACGUUCGGAAACGGACGCUAAUACCGCAUACGUCCUACGGGAGAAAGCAGGGGACCUUCGGGCCUUGCGCUAUCAGAUGAGCCUAGGUCGGAUUAGCUAGUUGGUGAGGUAAUGGCUCACCAAGGCGACGAUCCGUAACUGGUCUGAGAGGAUGAUCAGUCACACUGGAACUGAGACACGGUCCAGACUCCUACGGGAGGCAGCAGUGGGGAAUAUUGGACAAUGGGCGAAAGCCUGAUCCAGCCAUGCCGCGUGUGUGAAGAAGGUCUUCGGAUUGUAAAGCACUUUAAGUUGGGAGGAAGGGCAUUAACCUAAUACGUUAGUGUUUUGACGUUACCGACAGAAUAAGCACCGGCUAACUCUGUGCCAGCAGCCGCGGUAAUACAGAGGGUGCAAGCGUUAAUCGGAAUUACUGGGCGUAAAGCGCGCGUAGGUGGUUUGUUAAGUUGGAUGUGAAAUCCCCGGGCUCAACCUGGGAACUGCAUUCAAAACUGACUGACUAGAGUAUGGUAGAGGGUGGUGGAAUUUCCUGUGUAGCGGUGAAAUGCGUAGAUAUAGGAAGGAACACCAGUGGCGAAGGCGACCACCUGGACUAAUACUGACACUGAGGUGCGAAAGCGUGGGGAGCAAACAGGAUUAGAUACCCUGGUAGUCCACGCCGUAAACGAUGUCAACUAGCCGUUGGGGAGCCUUGAGCUCUUAGUGGCGCAGCUAACGCAUUAAGUUGACCGCCUGGGGAGUACGGCCGCAAGGUUAAAACUCAAAUGAAUUGACGGGGGCCCGCCACAAGCGGUGGAGCAUGGUGGUUAAUU
rnacentral:rRNA from 1 species